AAUAAGUGCAGUUUUGCACUAUUCACGUUCAACAUUUGAUCGUUCGUCUUAUUUGAAAAUUUUUUUAUAAUUAGUAUUUUUAUUGGUAUUAGAUGAUAAAAUAUGAAUAGUACUUUAUGUGUGACUAAUUUUUUUUAAUUUUUUCAUAAAAUUUUCAAAUAAGACGGACGGUCAAAUGUUGGACACGGAUAUCCACGGCUGUUCUUAUU
rfam:Oryza rufipogon genomic scaffold, chr01